rnacentral:rRNA from 1 species
AUUGAACGCUGGCGGCAUGCCUUACACAUGCAAGUCGAACGGCAGCACGGGAGCAAUCCUGGUGGCGAGUGGCGAACGGGUGAGUAAAGUAUCGGAACGUGCCCAGUCGUGGGGGAUAGCGUAGCGAAAGUUACGCUAAUACCGCAUACGAUCUAUGGAUGAAAGCGGAGGAUCGCAAGACCUCGCGCGAUUGGAGCGGCCGAUAUCAGAUUAGGUAGUUGGGGGGGUAAAGGCUCACCAAGCCGACGAUCUGUAGCUGGUCUGAGAGGACGACCAGCCCCACUGGGAAUGAGACACGGCCCAGACCCCUACGGGAGGCAGCAGUGAGUAAUCUUGCGCAAUGGGCGAAAGCCUGACGCAGCGACGCCGCGUGGAGGAUGAAGGUCUUCGGAUUGUAAACUUCUGUUAAGUGGGAAGAAAGACGCAGAUUUAAUAGAUCUGCGGGAUGACGGUACCAUUAAAGAAAGCACCGGCUAAACUCGUGCCAGCCGCCGCCGUAA